rnacentral:rRNA from 1 species
GUAACAAGGUUUCCGUAGGUGAACCUGCGGAAGGAUCAUCA